rnacentral:rRNA from 1 species
UACAGAGGGUGCAAGCGUUAAUCGGAAUUACUGGGCGUAAAGCGCGCGUAGGCGGCUGCCUAAGUCGGGUGUGAAAGCCCCGGGCUCAACCUGGGAACUGCACUCGAUACUGGGCGGCUAGAGUAUGAGAGAGGGAGGUAGAAUUCCACGUGUAGCGGUGAAAUGCGUAGAUAUGUGGAGGAAUACCGGUGGCGAAGGCGGCCUCCUGGUUCAAUACUGACGCUGAGGAGCGAAAGCGUGGGGAGCGAACAGG